rnacentral:rRNA from 1 species
AUCCCCCGUCCUCCACGCGCCAAGCAAAAAUCAAGAUCUUCAUCGCUUCCAUCUACUUCCAAUNGAAGNANANCCCACCUUUNUGCAAUUCACCAUUACUUAUCGCCAGUGCGCUGCUUUUUUUCACUCGACGCGGGAAAGCCAGAGUCCCAUUGUCGACAAGUCUCUGANUGAUUUGUUUUCAGGCUCAGACUGCAUCACUCCUGCCGCUGAAGUUCCAGUGUCCCCGGCGGCUCGCCCCCCAGGGGCUCCCCCGCCGAAGCAACAUGUUAGUAGUCACGGUGAGGUUGGGCGCCGGGAGGCAGCCCGCACUCGGUACUUUUCUCUAGGGUGAACCUGCGGAAGGAUCAUUACCGAGUGCGGGCUGCCUCCGGGCGCCCAACCUCCCACCCGUGACUACCUAACACUGUUGCUUCGGCGGGGAGCCCCCUAGGGGCGAGCCGCCGGGGAACCACUGAACUUCAUGCCUGAGAGUGAUGCAGUCUGAGCCUGAAUACAAAUCAGUCAAAACUUUCAACAAUGGAUCUCUUGGUUCCGGCAUCGAUGAAGAACGCAGCGAACUGCGAUAAGUAAUGUGAAUUGCAGAAUUCAGUGAAUCAUCGAGUCUUUGAACGCACAUUGCGCCCCCUGGCAUUCCGGGGGGCAUGCCUGUCCGAGCGUCAUUGCUGCCCUCAAGCCCGGCUUGUGUGUUGGGUCGUCGUCCCCCCCGGGGGACGGGCCCGAAAGGCAGCGGCGGCACCGUGUCCGGUCCUCGAGCGUAUGGGGCUUUGUCACCCGCUCGAUUAGGGCCGGCCGGGCGCCAGCCGGCGUCUCCAACCUUAUUUCUCAGGUGACCUCGGAUCAGUAG